rnacentral:rRNA from 1 species
GACGAACGCUGGCGGCGUGCCUAACACAUGCAAGUCGAACGGGAACAGCUUGAAGCUUGCUUUGGACUGUUUUAGUGGCGGACGGGUGAGUAACGCGUGAGGAACCUGCCUUUCAGAGGGGGAUAACGUCUGGAAACGGACGCUAAUACCGCAUGACAUUCAUGGGUCACAUGGUCUGUGAAUCAAAGGAGCAAUCCGCUGAAAGAUGGACUCGCGUCCGAUUAGCCAGUUGGCGGGGUAAAGGCCCACCAAAGCGACGAUCGGUAGCCGGACUGAGAGGUUGAACGGCCACAUUGGGACUGAGACACGGCCCAGACUCCUACGGGAGGCAGCAGUGGGGGAUAUUGCACAAUGGAGGAAACUCUGAUGCAGCAACGCCGCGUGAGGGAAGACGGUCUUCGGAUUGUAAACCUUUGUCCCCGGUGACGAUAAUGACGGUAGCCGAGGAGGAAGCUCCGGCUAACUACGUG